rnacentral:rRNA from 1 species
UACGGAGGGGGCUAGCGUUGUUCGGAAUUACUGGGCGUAAAGCGCACGUAGGCGGCUUUGUAAGUUAGAGGUGAAAGCCCAGGGCUUAACCCUGGAAUUGCCUUUAAGACUGCAUCGCUAGAAUCGUGGAGAGGUGAGUGGAAUUCCGAGUGUAGAGGUGAAAUUCGUAGAUAUUCGGAAGAACACCAGUGGCGAAGGCGACUCACUGGCCCGUUACUGACGCUGAUGCGCGAAAGCGUGGGGAGCAAACAGG